UGAAUCUUGUUGAAUUCCCCUUUAUUACCAGCUUGAUAAGAACCUAUUGAUAAUCUUAAUGAAUCCAUAAGAGCAUUAAUUUUUGGAGGUAGAAUCACAGGUUCCGAGAUCCUUUGGAUUGGUA
ensembl:ncRNA ZC53.13 ncRNA